GUGCCAGCAGCCGCGGUAAGACGAACCGUGCAAACGUUGUUCGGAAUCACUGGGCUUAAAGGGCGCGUAGGCGGGUUCGUAAGUCUGUGGUGAAAGCCCCCAGCUUAACUGGGGAAGUGCCAUGGAUACUGCGAGUCUUGAGGAGGGUAGGGGCAUCUGGAACACUGGGUGGAGCGGUGAAAUGCGUUGAUAUCCAGUGGAACUCCGGUGGCGAAGGCGAGGUGCUGGACCCUUUCUGACGCUGAUGCGCGAAAGCCAGGGGAGCAAACGGGAUUAGAUACCCCUGUAGUCC
rnacentral:rRNA from 1 species